GUGGGGAAUAUUGGACAAUGGGCGAAAGCCUGAUCCAGCCAUGCCGCGUGUGUGAAGAAGGUCUUCGGAUUGUAAAGCACUUUAAGUUGGGAGGAAGGGCAGUAAGUUAAUACCUUGCUGUUUUGACGUUACCGACAGAAUAAGCACCGGCUAACUUCGUGCCAGCAGCCGCGGUAAUACGAAGGGUGCAAGCGUUAAUCGGAAUUACUGGGCGUAAAGCGCGCGUAGGUGGUUUUGUAAGUUGGAGGUGAAAUCCCCGGGCUCAACCUGGGAACUGCCUCCAAAACUGCAUGACUAGAGUACGGUAGAGGGUAGUGGAAUUUCCUGUGUAGCGGUGAAAUGCGUAGAUAUAGGAAGGAACACCAGUGGCGAAGGCGACUACCUGGACUGAUACUGACACUGAGGUGCGAAAGUGUGGGGAUCGAACAGGAUUAGAAACCCUUGUAGUCC
rnacentral:rRNA from 1 species